CCAUCGGUGGUUCAGUGGUAGAAUGCUCGCCUGCCACGCGGCCCGGUUUCGAUUCCCGGCCGAUGCA
rnacentral:tRNA from 1 species